UACGUAGGGUCCGAGCGUUGUCCGGAAUUAUUGGGCGUAAAGGGCUCGUAGGCGGUUUGUCGCGUCGGGAGUGAAAACACCGGGCUUAACUCCGGUGCUUGCUUUCGAUACGGGCAGACUAGAGGCAUUCAGGGGAGAACGGAAUUCCUGGUGUAGCGGUGAAAGUGCGCAGAUAUCAGGAGGAACACCGGUGGCGAAGGCGGUUCUCUGGGAAUGUCCUGACGCUGAGGAGCGAAAGUGUGGGGAGCGAACAGG
rnacentral:rRNA from 1 species